AUGCAGCCGCAUUCUUAAAAUGAAAAAGCAUUUCUGGAAAUGCUUUUUCAUUUGAAAUAUGGUAACGAUUUGCUUCCAUAAUCACCAGGGCGGUUUUUUUUUUUUCUUUAGUGGACAACUACGCUGAGAUUCCAACCGUUCUGCACAGAGGAUCAGAGACACAGUCUUCACUAUAUUUGCCAGGUCAUCAUGAAGCUCCCACACACAUGGAGCUCUUCGGCAGUAUGCAAUGUAAUGUCCCAGACCAUCUUUAGUCAAGCUUCCCUUAAAAGCAACGACUCCUCUCAAAGUGAAUGUCUUUCCUUGGAGAGCAACAAUGGGGGGAAAUUCACUCAAAGGAAACUGAGUUGUGUUUGCAAGUGGGCGAAGGCAGGGAGACUCCGGAAGGAAGAGUCCGUUUUCCACUGAAAUGUCAAGCUGAGCCAUGCCACAGUCCAUCAGCACAGAAAUGUCAGGAGAAACAAAUGGUACUUCCCUUGUUCCUUUGUUUAGCUGGCAGAACUGUGAAGAGCAGUGUUUUGAGACGUAAACGCUAGUUAUAUUUCUCAUUGUUUUUCCAAUGACCGUGGAGAUAUUGCACUGGGCAUCGAUUUGAUGGGCACCAGACCUCAACUGGAUUUUUUCAAACAUUGCACUUAGCACCUCUGCCCUCUGUGAAUAGAUCUUUGGGGUCACACCAUCUGUAGCAAUGGCUUUUACCAGCAGCAAGAUAGGGUUGUCACUGUUGUUCCUGACAACAUUUUGAAAUGUCACAGAAAGCACAGCAUAAGCACUGACAAAACGCAUCAAAUGCACAUGUGUUCAGAACAGAGAUUGUUGAUUUCCCAACUCUAAUCGUUUGAUGCAGGUUUCCAUUUUUUAAUAGUCCCACUUUCACUCUUUUUGCCAAAGAGUAGACACAUUUUUAAUUUACAAAUAAAGCCACGUAGAUUUAAAAAAAACAUUUCAUAUAAUGCAUGUUUUUUAUAUUAGUACUUCAUUUUACACACUAUUUGAUAUUAUUUUUGGUAAUGAAUUCAUGUAAUAAACAAAAAAUCUGAGGAGCCACUUGGGAGCCGAAAGAGCCGGCACUUUUUAGUGAACAGAGCCAAAAGAACCGGCUCUCAAAAAAGAGCCGGAAUGCCCAUUAACUCUGAUCCUCUGUGCAGAAUAGAGGGUGACACGGAAGUGGAUUUUCUCUCCUGUCCCAUCCCGCUCCCACAGAAAAAUGUCUUGUUCCAUCCCAAUCCCAGGCCAGCAUAACGAAAAAAAUCCUGUCCCGUCCCACUCCUAGUAAAUUGAC